UAUGAAGAAUGACAUGUAACUUUUCCAAAAUAACAUUUCCUAGUAAUAUUAGCCUACCCUUCAAAAAUAGGCAAAUUAUGCAAAUAAAUCAGCCUGCUGGAAAGAAAACCCUUUGUUUUAAAAUGUUGCUUUAGUGGUUAAAAAUCACAACCUAGCUGAACAGGUGAGUUGCUGCUUCCCUAGGUAUUGACCCUGCAACAGGAGGAGUUGUUCUACAGGAAUUGUGAUCUCUGCAGUUUUAAAUCAGUCAGAUACAUGAACUUGUACCUUCCCACUUCAGCUGAACAAAAUCAACAAAUCUGUGCACCACCCAUAACUCCAGGACGGCCUGCACCAGUAUUAAGAGACACGAAAUUAUUGUCUCUGCAUUACCAAUGUAAGCACCUGUCUUUGUUUAACAUGUAAGGAGGAAUGAGAAGAUUUAUCAGCAGCAGCUUGGAAAGCAGUUGUGUUGGGUAUGUCUGUGGUCUGUGCUCUUUUCAUACAAAGGCCACUGGCUCCAUCUAGUGUCACUGGUUUUCCCAGAAGCACAGUAUUUAGCACUUCAAAUUUUUUGGAAGGAUCUCCUUUUACAAAAGUCUGAGCACAAAAUACAAGAGUUCUGAAGUUAAAUCAGAAUUCAUUUCGCUAUUACUCCACUGGAAGUAUAAAGUGACCAGUUAAUAGUGAUGGGCAACAGCCAAACUCUUGUUCAAGAGAACGCAGUUGGAUGACAUUAAAAUGCUUCAGAAAACUUUUCUCCUUUUCUGUCAGUUCAGUCUGCAUUUAGUGAUCUUUUUUCCAGCAUGUCACUUGGAAAUAAAUUGCACUGCUACUGACUAACUGCUCACAGCUUGAGACAGAGGCAGCUCUCACGCUCCACCUCUGGGAUUUUUCCAGCCAGUUGUCACAAAUUCCUAGAAUGUGCUGGGUUACUUGGUCAGGCAGAGCAUGUUUUGCUUCAGCAAGCAGUGCUAAUGCUUGGCUGAUGCCAAUGAAAACCUCAGUGUAACAACUCAGAAAUCGCUACUGAAGUAGCCAAACUCCAGAACCCAGCAAGGAAAGGACAGGGGUUUCUUUUUAGCAAAAAGAGUGAAAUGAUAGUGAAAAUCCUGGAAAGUCAGGGCACUCUUUUAGCACUCUCUUCAAGUAAAAGAAUUAGAUGGGAUUUAGGCUUCAUUCUGAUUACUUGCUUUGCUUCUAUUCUUAGGAGAGGAACUGGAAGGGCAAAGCCUGUAAUCACUGCUGCAAGAGUUCGGAGAAUCCAGGAUGGCUCUAUCCCAGGUCACUGGUUGUCACAGAGGAGAGACCUUUCUGGCUGUAGCCUCUGUUAUCCAUGAACUUGCUCCUGAGCAAGAUGGAUCUCACACUUUAACAGCAAGCAAGAGCUGUAAUGCACAUCAAACAUCCCAAAUUCACAUCUGCUGCAAUGAACGUCAGCAGUUAAGGGAAGAUUGUGCUUGAAGCUCAGCAACACUCACAGCUAAGACUCACUGUAGGAAAAGGAACAGCCAUUUUCCACCAAGUGCUCUGGGUGAAAAAGCACUGCAGAUGAAAAUGAAGGAAGAAAUAAUCAAAAUGCACAGCACGGGUCCAAUUCUUGAAUGAAAACCAAGCUGGUAGGCUUAAAGUCACAAGCUAUA